AGGUUCCACUGAGAUUUGAACUCGGAUCGCUGGAUUCAGAUUCCAGAGUGCUAACCAUUACACUGUUGC
rnacentral:tRNA from 1 species